UCUUCGUCCCAAAAUAUAACAAUGUAUUGAACGUGAUGUCCGUCUUAUUUAAAAGAAUUUUAUGAUUAGUAUUUUUAUUAUUAUUAGAUGAUAAAACAUGAUUAGUACUUGAUGUGUAACUAUUUUUUUAUAAAAAAAAAUCAUAAAUAUUUCAAAUUAGAUAAACGGACAGUCAAAUGUUGGACACGGAAACCCACAACUAUACUUAAA
rnacentral:pre_miRNA from 1 species